rnacentral:sRNA from 1 species
AAGUGGUAAGUGCAGUUAAGAAAUUAUCGCUUGAAGAUAAUAGUGAAAGUA